UGGGGAAUCUUGCGCAAUGGGCGAAAGCCUGACGCAGCAACGCCGCGUGCGGGAUGAAGGCCCUCGGGUCGUAAACCGCUUUCAGCAGGGAUGAAACUGACAGUACCUGCAGAAGAAGCCCCGGCUAACUACGUGCCAGCAGCCGCGGUAAUACGUAGGGGGCAAGCGUUAUCCGGAUUCAUUGGGCGUAAAGAGCGCGUAGGCGGCUUGUUUAGUCAGAUGUGAAAACCGGGGGCUCAACCCGCGGCCUGCAUCUGAAACUGACAGGCUUGAGUCUGGUAGAGGAAAGUGGAAUUCCUGGUGUAGCGGUGAAAUGCGCAGAUAUCAGGAGGAACACCAGUGGCGAAGGCGGCUUUCUGGGCCACGACUGACGCUGAGGCGCGAAAGCUAGGGGAGCGAACA
rnacentral:rRNA from 1 species